GGAGGGUGCAAGCGUUAUCCGGAUUCACUGGGUUUAAAGGGUGCGUAGGUGGGUCUGUAAGUCCGUGGUGAAAUCUCCGAGCUUAACUUGGAAACUGCCAUGGAUACUAUAGGUCUUGAAUACUGUGGAGGUCAGCGGAAUAUGUCAUGUAGCGGUGAAAUGCUUAGAUAUGACAUAGAACACCAAUUGCGAAGGCAGCUGGCUACACAAAUAUUGACACUGAUGCACGAAAGCGUGGGGAUCAAACAGGAUUAGAUACCCUGGUAGUCCACGCCCUAAACGAUGGAUACUCGACAUUUGCGAUAAACUGCAAGUGUCUGAGCGAAAGCAUUAAGUACCCCACCUGGGAAGUACGAUCGCAAGAUUG
rnacentral:rRNA from 1 species